UACGAAGGGGGCUAGGCGUUGCUCGGAAUCACUGGGCGUAAAGGGUGCGUAGGCGGGUCUUUAAGUCAGGGGUGAAAUCCUGGAGCUCAACUCCAGAACUGCCUUUGAUACUGAGGAUCUUGAGUUCGGGAGAGGUGAGUGGAACUGGCGAGUGUAGAGGUGAAAUUCGUAGAUAUUCGCAAGAACACCAGUGGCGAAGGCGGCUCACUGGCCCGGUACUGACGCUGACGGUGCGAAAGCGUGGGAGCAACAGG
rnacentral:rRNA from 1 species